GCGUUAAAUUCAAAAAAAAAUUUUUUUUUUUCAUUUCUCUCUCAAUCGUUGAGACAGCCCUAACCCUUCAAGAGUGAGCCGACUCGAACGGUUCCUCUGACGCAGAGGAGGGUGAGCAACGACGACUCCGGAGGCGACAGCGGUUGCAGCUGGGCGAGGUGAGGCGGCUGUGAGGUCUCCUCUUCCAUCUUCAUUCUCAGGGUUGCAGCCCAACAAAGUGUACUAUUUAUCAAUGUGGAGUUCUAUACCAGCAAUGAGUAAUGUGUCCUACAAAUGCAACACAAAGAAGUGAUGGAAUUAUAGGAGAAAGAGUUGUGCUAUUGCAAAGUGAACUUGUAAGAAACUGAGAGUGUUAGUGGACAACUUUGAUUUUUGACCACGAAGAUGCAACAAGCAAUAAACCUUUGAAUGUGUAAUUGGUGUUACUUGUAAUUGCUAUUAUUUUAAUUAUGAAGUAACUAUGUUUCAAUGUUGUAAUUGACUAGUUUGAUUUUUGGAAUGGUUGGGAAUAUAGAACUUUUGAAAUUUGUGAAAUUUGAAAUGCUGUUGCUAUUA